rnacentral:rRNA from 1 species
AUGAUUGGCAUAUCCAUCGUAGCAGCAGCGGCGGCGGCGGUACUAGCACUCGUUGGUUUCUUCUCGCUGGCGGCCGGCGCCGGGAGGAGGGCCGGAGCAGGGGCGAGCGGGGGCGCGUCCAGCGGAGGCGAGCGGAUCGCAGGGCGAGAUCACAAGGCGCGGUGUUGUAACUGGUGCGACCAGGAAAUGAGCUUGCACAGCUGUCCGGCCGCGGCCGGGGACGCGCCGACCGGGACGGCGGAGGACCUGCUCGAGCGGGCGCGGGGCCUGGUGCCGGCGGCGCUGGACGCGGCGCGCGCGGCGACAGGGUUUGGCGCGCGGUGGAAGGCCAUCGCGGCCAGGCUGGAGAGGGUGCCGCCGUGCCUGUCCGACCUGUCCAGCCACCCCUGCUUCUCCAAGAACGCGCUCUGCCGGGAGCUGCUGCAGUCCGUUGCUGCCACCCUCGCCGAGGCAGCCGAGCUCGGCGUGCUCUGCCGCGAGCCGCCCAAGGCUGGCAAGCUGCAGAUGCAGAGCGACCUCGACGCUCUCGCCGGGAAGCUGGACCUCAACCUCCGGGACUGCGAGCUGCUUGUCAAGACCGGUGUGCUGUCAGAUGCGACGGUUCCGUCUCCUCCGGCUGAGGCGGCGGCGGCGGCGGCCUCGCAGACGGACGUGCGGGAGCUGCUCGCUAGGCUGCAAAUCGGGCACGCCGAGGCGAAGCACCGGGCUGUGGAGGGCCUCCUUGACGCGCUGCGCGAGGACGAGAAGAGCGUGCUGUCGGCGCUCGGCCGUGGCAACGUGGCCGCGCUGGUGCAGUUGCUGACGGCGACGGCGCCCAAGAUCAGGGAGAAGGCGGCCACCGUGCUCUGCUUGCUUGCCGAGUCCGGCAGCUGCGAGGGCUUGCUGGUGUCGGAAGGCGCGCUGCCGCCGCUCAUCCGGCUGGCGGAGUCCGGCAGCCUUGUUGGCCGGGAGAAGGCCGUCAUCACGCUGCAGCGUCUGUCCAUGUCACCCGAGAUUGCCCGCGCAAUCGUCGGCCACAGCGGCGUCCGUCCACUCAUCGAAAUCUGCCAGACCGGGGACUCCAUCUCGCAAUCCGCGGCGGCGGGCGCGCUCAAGAACCUCUCCGCGGUGCCGGAGGUCCGGCAAGCGCUGGCCGAGGAAGGCAUCGUGCGCGUGAUGAUCAGCCUGCUCGACCGCGGCGUCGUGCUGGGCUCCAAGGAGUACGCGGCGGAGUGCCUGCAGAACUUCACGUCCAGCAACGACAACCUGCGGCGCGCCGUGGUGUCCGAGGGCGCGCUGCCCAGCCUGCUCGCCUACCUCGACGGCCCGCUGCCGCAGGAGUCCGCCGUGGGCGCGCUCCGCAACCUCGUCUCUGCCGUCUCGCCGGACAACCUCGUGUCGCUCGGCGUGCUCCCGCGGCUCGCGCACGUGCUCCGCGACGGCUCCGUGGGCGCGCAGCAGGCGGCCGCGGCUGCCAUCUGCAGGAUCUCCAGCUCCCCGGAGAUGAAGCGGCUGGUGGGCGACCACGGGUGCAUGCCGCUGCUGGUGCGGCUGCUGGAGGCCAAGUCGAGCGGCGCGCGGGAGGUGGCGGCGCAGGCGACGGCGACCCUGAUGAGCUGCCCGGCGAACGCGAGGGACGUGAAGAAGGACGAGAAGAGCGUGCCGAACCUGGUGCAGCUGCUGGACCCGAGCCCGGGGAACACGGCCAAGAAGUACGCCAUCUCCUGCCUCCUGGCGCUGUCGGCGAGCAAGCGGUGCAAGAAGCUGAUGAUCGCGCAGGGCGCCAUCGGGUACCUGAAGAAGCUCUCCGAGAUGGACGUCGCCGGCGCCAAGAAGCUGCUCGAGAAGCUGGAGCGUGGCAAGCUGCGCACCCUGUUCACUAGGAAGUAA